ensembl:lncRNA
CUAUCUCAAAAAGAUAAAAAAGAGUCCUUUCAAUCUACAUCAGGUGCUCAAGAGAACAGGCUCGUCUUCGUAAGUCAUGUAAUCAACAGAAUUCAAGGAGAUGGCAGUGCAUGAUAUCUACUUUGAUUUCUUAGAAAGCUUGCCCUUCAGAUACUCUCCUCUUAAACCUACCCAGCCAUACUCUAAGAAGCCCAGCACAUGGAGAGGUCCCGUAGGUGCUCCAGAUCCUCCCUUCACUGUCUGCUGCUUGGCUGCCAAGGGAUGAGCAGCUCUCCUCCACCCACAUCCUUCCACCAUGCACUUCCUGCCUUGGAGACAGCCAAUUAUGGACUGAAUCCUCUAAACCCACCAGACGCUCUAAGGGACUGGACAGCAUUCAUAGCUGGAAAUUUAGCCGAGCUGAUAAUAAGCCUUCCAGUAGAAGCUUUCUGCUUUGAGGACCAGAACCUUUAGAUGCUCGAAGUCCUAUAAUUAUGGGGAAGAACUUGCUGCGGCUGGUUUUCCUCAUGGGAACUUGGCUGUUUUCAUCAGAGGAGCUUGGAUCCUCGCUGUCCCUGGGAAUGGCUGCUGUUCUCAUCGGGGAGCUUUGAUCUUUGCCUAGAGCAUGGCUUCCUUACUCCAGUGUGGAUCCCUCAGCCUGGUGGCACAGAGACUUUACCCCACCGGCGCAGGCUUUCUAGCUUGCACCUCUGGCCUUUGGGCCUUCCGAGUGAAAAUUCUCGAUAUGGAGAAGCAUGAGACAUUGCCUUGGGCUCUAGGCCACUGGCUGAACUUAUGGAGGACAUUGCUUUGGACUCUAGGCCUUCAGCUGGACUUGUGGGGCACAUCGCUGUGGGAUCUAGGCCCUUGGCUGGAUUCUUUGGAACUCUAGUGUGUGGCUAGAUCUCUUGUACUCCUCUGCAUUUGACUUUUUGGGUGACUAUUAUAAAAUAAUUCUAUAGCCAGAGAUUUAGCCCAGUGGUUUCACUAACUGCUUCGCAAGCUCAAGGACCCAAGUUCAAUCCCUCAUACUAAAAAAAAAAAAAAAAAAUCCUGUAAAUUAUUUGCCC